UCUCCGUUGGUGAACCAGCGGAGGGAUCAUUACAGAGUACUUUACUCAUAACCCUUUGUGAACCUUUAUAACCUGUUGCUUCGGCGGCGCGCCUCCGGGCGUGCCCGCCGGUAUCAUCAGAAUCUCUGUUCGAACCCGACGAUAUAUCUGAGUGUUCUAAGCGAACUGUUAAAACUUUCAACAACGGAUCUCUUGGCUCCA
rnacentral:misc_RNA from 1 species